rnacentral:snRNA from 1 species
GGAUGUGAGGGUGAUCUGGCUGCAACAUCUAUCACCCCAUUAAUUGCCAGCGCUAAUCUGGCUGAUCUGGCUGGCGAGUAUCCCCUUCCUCCUUCACUGCUCCACAUGUGUCCCUCCUGAAGCUGUGUACUCUAAGAGGACGGCCUUCCCAGAAUAAAUAAAUAGGGCUUCUUGAUUCCAAUGACAGGGCUAGGUCAGAGGACUACGAGACAUGUAGUCAUGGGCUUUCUGUUUGGUGGGAUUCCAGAUAUACUACCCAUAUAUUAAUAUGACAACUUUCAUAUUGAAU